CCUACGGGUGGCAGCAGUCGAGAAUCAUUCACAAUGGGGGAAACCCUGAUGGUGCGACGCCGCGUGGGGGAAUGAAGGUCUUCGGAUUGUAAACCCCUGUCAUGUGGGAGCAAAUUAAAAAGAUAGUACCACAAGAGGAAGAGACGGCUAACUCUGUGCCAGCAGCCGCGGUAAUACAGAGGUCUCAAGCGUUGUUCGGAAUCACUGGGCGUAAGGCGUGCGUAGGCUGUUUCGUAAGUCGUGUGUGAAAGGCGCGGGCUCAACCCGCGGACGGCACAUGAUACUGCGAGACUAGAGUAAUGGAGGGGGAACCGGAAUUCUCGGUGUAGCAGUGAAAUGCGUAGAUAUCGAGAGGAACACUCGUGGCGAAGGCGGGUUCCUGGACAUUAACUGACGCUGAGGCACGAAGGCCAGGGGAGCGAAAGGGAUUAGAUACCCGUGGAGUC
rnacentral:rRNA from 1 species